UACGGAUUUUACCCCUACACCACUAAUUCCAUCUCCCCCUCCCAUACUCUAGUCUAGCAGUUUCAAAUGCAGUUCAAUGGUUGAGCCAUUGGAUUUCACAUCUGACUUGCUAAACAGCCUACGCGUCCUUUACGCCCAGUGAUUCCGAGUAACGCUUGCACCCUCCGUAUUACCGCGGCUGCUGGCACGGAGUUAGCCGGUGCUUAUUCAUAUGCUACCGUCAUUUUCUUGACAUAUAAAAGGAGUUUACACACCGAAAUGCGUCAUCCUCCACGCGGCGUUGCUGCAUCAGGCUUUCGCCCAUUGUGCAAUAUUCCUCACUGCUGCCUCCCGUAGGAGUCUGGUCCGUGUCUCAGUACCAGUGUGGCGGAUCAUCCUCUCAGAACCGCUACCCGUCAUUGCCUUGGUGAGCCAUUACCUCACCAACUAGCUGAUAGGAUAUAGUCUGAUCCCAAAGCGAAAAGACAUUUCCCUUCUUACCUUAUGAUAAGAAGGUGUAUCUAGUAUUAAUCACCGUUUCCAGUGGCUAUCCCAGUCUUUGGGGUACAUUAACUAUAGUUUACUCACCCGUGCGCCACUCGUCAGC
rnacentral:rRNA from 1 species